rnacentral:rRNA from 1 species
GGGUUGUGAGGUUAAGCGACUAAGCGUACACGGUGGAUGCCCUGGCAGUCAGAGGCGAUGAAGGACGUGCUAAUCUGCGAAAAGCGUCGGUAAGGUGAUAUGAACCGUUAUAGCCGGCGAUGUCCGAAUGGGGAAACCCAGUGUGAUUCGUCACACUAUCGUUAACUGAAUACAUAGGUUAACGAGGCGAACCGGGGGAACUGAAACAUCUAAGUACCCCGAGGAAAAGAAAUCAACCGAGAUUCCCCCAGUAGCGGCGAGCGAACGGGGAGCAGCCCAGAGUCUGAAUCAGCUUGUGUGUUAGUGGAACGGUCUGGAAAGUCCGACGGUACAGGGUGAUAGUCCCGUACACCAAAAUGCACAGGCUGUGAACUCGAAGAGUAGGGCGGGACACGUGGUAUCCUGUCUGAAUAUGGGGGGACCAUCCUCCAAGGCUAAAUACUCCUGACUGACCGAUAGUGAACCAGUACCGUGAGGGAAAGGCGAAAAGAACCCCGGCGAGGGGAGUGAAAAAGAACCUGAAACCGUGUACGUACAAGCAGUGGGAGCACCUUCGGGUGUGACUGCGUACCUUUUGUAUAAUGGGUCAGCGACUUAUAUUCUGUAGCAAGGUUAACCGUAUAGGGGAGCCGCAGGGAAACCGAGUCUUAACUGGGCGUUAAGUUGCAGGGUAUAGACCCGAAACCCGGUGAUCUAGCCAUGGGCAGGUUGAAGGUUGGGUAACACUAACUGGAGGACCGAACCGACUAAUGUUGAAAAAUUAGCGGAUGACUUGUGGCUGGGGGUGAAAGGCCAAUCAAACCGGGAGAUAGCUGGUUCUCCCCGAAAGCUAUUUAGGUAGCGCCUCGUGAACUCAUCUUCGGGGGUAGAGCACUGUUUCGGCUAGGGGGUCAUCCCGACUUACCAACCCGAUGCAAACUACGAAUACCGAAGAAUGUUAUCACGGGAGACACACGGCGGGUGCUAACGUCCGUCGUGAAGAGGGAAACAACCCAGACCGCCAGCUAAGGUCCCAAAGUCAUGGUUAAGUGGGAAACGAUGUGGGAAGGCACAGACAGCCAGGAUGUUGGCUUAGAAGCAGCCAUCAUUUAAAGAAAGCGUAAUAGCUCACUGGUCGAGUCGGCCUGCGCGGAAGAUGUAACGGGGCUAAACCAUGCACCGAAGCUGCGGCAGCGACACUAUGUGUUGUUGGGUAGGGGAGCGUUCUGUAAGCCUGCGAAGGUGUGCUGUGAGGCAUGCUGGAGGUAUCAGAAGUGCGAAUGCUGACAUAAGUAACGAUAAAGCGGGUGAAAAGCCCGCUCGCCGGAAGACCAAGGGUUCCUGUCCAACGUUAAUCGGGGCAGGGUGAGUCGACCCCUAAGGCGAGGCCGAAAGGCGUAGUCGAUGGGAAACAGGUUAAUAUUCCUGUACUUGGUGUUACUGCGAAGGGGGGACGGAGAAGGCUAUGUUAGCCGGGCGACGGUUGUCCCGGUUUAAGCAUGUAGGCUGGUUAUCCAGGCAAAUCCGGAUAAUCAAGGCUGAGGUGUGAUGACGAGGCACUACGGUGCUGAAGUAACAAAUGCCCUGCUUCCAGGAAAAGCCUCUAAGCAUCAGGUAACAUCAAAUCGUACCCCAAACCGACACAGGUGGUCAGGUAGAGAAUACCAAGGCGCUUGAGAGAACUCGGGUGAAGGAACUAGGCAAAAUGGUGCCGUAACUUCGGGAGAAGGCACGCUGGUGUGUAGGUGAAGUCCCUGCGGAUGGAGCUGAGACCAGUCGAAGAUACCAGCUGGCUGCAACUGUUUAUUAAAAACACAGCACUGUGCAAACACGAAAGUGGACGUAUACGGUGUGACGCCUGCCCGGUGCCGGAAGGUUAAUUGAUGGGGUUAUCCGUAAGGAGAAGCUCUUGAUCGAAGCCCCGGUAAACGGCGGCCGUAACUAUAACGGUCCUAAGGUAGCGAAAUUCCUUGUCGGGUAAGUUCCGACCUGCACGAAUGGCGUAAUGAUGGCCAGGCUGUCUCCACCCGAGACUCAGUGAAAUUGAACUCGCUGUGAAGAUGCAGUGUACCCGCGGCAAGACGGAAAGACCCCGUGAACCUUUACUAUAGCUUGACACUGAACAUUGAGCCUUGAUGUGUAGGAUAGGUGGGAGGCUUUGAAGCGUGGACGCCAGUCUGCGUGGAGCCAACCUUGAAAUACCACCCUUUAAUGUUUGAUGUUCUAACGUUGGCCCCUUACCGGGGUUGCGGACAGUGUCUGGUGGGUAGUUUGACUGGGGCGGUCUCCUCCCAAAGCGUAACGGAGGAGCACGAAGGUUAGCUAAUCCUGGUCGGACAUCAGGAGGUUAGUGCAAUGGCAUAAGCUAGCUUGACUGCGAGCGUGACGGCGCGAGCAGGUGCGAAAGCAGGUCAUAGUGAUCCGGUGGUUCUGAAUGGAAGGGCCAUCGCUCAACGGAUAAAAGGUACUCCGGGGAUAACAGGCUGAUACCGCCCAAGAGUUCAUAUCGACGGCGGUGUUUGGCACCUCGAUGUCGGCUCAUCACAUCCUGGGGCUGAAGUAGGUCCCAAGGGUAUGGCUGUUCGCCAUUUAAAGUGGUACGCGAGCUGGGUUUAGAACGUCGUGAGACAGUUCGGUCCCUAUCUGCCGUGGGCGCUGGAGAAUUGAGGGGGGCUGCUCCUAGUACGAGAGGACCGGAGUGGACGCAUCACUGGUGUUCGGGUUGUCAUGCCAAUGGCACUGCCCGGUAGCUAAAUGCGGAAGAGAUAAGUGCUGAAAGCAUCUAAGCACGAAACUUGCCCCGAGAUGAGUUCUCCCUGAGACUUUAAGUCUCCUGAAGGAACGUUAAAGACGAUGACGUUGAUAGGCCGGGUGUGUAAGCGCAGCGAUGCGUUGAGCUAACCGGUACUAAUGAACCGUGAGGCUUAACCUUACAACGCCGAAG